rnacentral:rRNA from 1 species
UUUCGGCGUUGACUCCAAUUGAACCGCAGGCUUCACCCCUUGUGGUGCUCCCCCGCCAAUUCCUUUAAGUUUCAUACUUGCGUACGUACUUCCCAGGCGGCAAACUUAACGGCUUCCCUGCGGCACUGCACUGGCCAAAAGCCAGUGCAUCACCGAGUCUGCAUCGUUUACAGCUGGGACUACCCGGGUAUCUAAUCCGGUUUGCUCCCCCAGCUUUCAUCCCUCACCGUCGAACGUGUUCUGGUAGACCGCCUUCGCCACAGGUGGUCAUCAAGAGAUCAAAGGAUUUUACCCCUUCCUCCCGAGUACCGUCUACCUCUCCCACUCCCUAGUUCUGCAGUAUUUCCGGCAGCCCAUUAGUUGAGCUAGUGGAUUUAACCGGAAACUUACAGAACCGGCUACGGAUGCUUUAGGCCCAACAAUCCUCCUGACCACUUGAGGUGCUGGUUUUACCGCGGCGGCUGACACCAGAACUUGCCCACCCCUUAUUCAUCAGUGGUUUUAGAACUAACAAAAGAUUCCUUUAGCAGGAAACACUCGGAUUAACCUUGUCGUGCUUGCGCACAUUGCAAAGGUUUCUCGCCUGCUGCGCCCCAUAGGGCCUGGGUCCGUGUCUCAGUACCCAUCUCCGGGCUUCUCCUCUCAGAGCCCGUACCUGUAAUAGCCUUGGUGGGCCAUUACCUCACCAACAAGCUGAUAGGCCGCAGUCCCAUCCUAUGGCGACGAAUCAUUUGGACCAUAAACCGUUCCAGGCAUUAUGAUCUAUCGCGGAUUAUUCUCAGUUUCCCGAGGUUAUCCACGUCCAUAGGGCAGAUUGACUACGUGUUACUGAGCCGUAUGCCUUGUAUUGCUACAAUGACUCACAUGGCUUAGUACCAAUCCGAUAGCAGUCAGGU